rnacentral:rRNA from 1 species
AAGCGCUUGUGACCAGACUUGCGUCCGGUGAAUCACCCAGCUCUCGCGGCUGGGGCACUUCGCCGGCACAGGCCAGCAUCAGCUUGCCGUCGGGGACAAAAGCUUCAGGAACGUAGCUCUCUUCGGGGAGUGUUAUAGCCUGUUGCAUAAUACCCUUCGGCGGGCUGAGGUACGCGCUCCGCAAGGAUGCUGGCGUAAUGGUCAUCAGCGA